rnacentral:antisense_RNA from 1 species
CUUCAGGGAGCCCAGCCGGAGCGGCCUGCCCUCGGCCCGGUCCUGCCCGUAGGUCGCGAGCAGCGCGUCCGCCUC